rnacentral:rRNA from 1 species
UGGGGAAUAUUGCACAAUGGGCGAAAGCCUGAUGCAGCAACGCCGCGUGUGUGAAGAAGGCCUUCGGGUUGUAAAGCACUUUUGUCCGGAAAGAAAUCCUUGGCUCUAAUACAGUCGGGGGAUGACGGUACCGGAAGAAUAAGCACCGGCUAACUACGUGCCAGCAGCCGCGGUAAUACGUAGGGUGCAAGCGUUAAUCGGAAUUACUGGGCGUAAAGCGUGCGCAGGCGGUUUGCUAAGACCGAUGUGAAAUCCCCGGGCUCAACCUGGGAACUGCAUUGGUGACUGGCAGGCUAGAGUAUGGCAGAGGGGGGUAGAAUUCCACGUGUAGCAGUGAAAUGCGUAGAGAUGUGGAGGAAUACCGAUGGCGAAGGCAGCCCCCUGGGCCAAUACUGACGCUCAUGCACG